UUGCUGUGAUGACUAUCUUAGGACACCUUUGGAAUUCCCAUGAAAAAAAAAUCAGUUAUUUCUGAGCAAC